UACAGAGGUCUCAAGCGUUGUUCGGAUUCAUUGGGCGUAAAGGGUGCGUAGGCGGCGCGGUAAGUCGGGUGUGAAAUCUCGGAGCUUAACUCCGAAACUGCAUUCGAUACUGCCGGGCUAGAGUCCGGAAGAGGCGAGUGGAAUUCCUGGUGUAGCGGUGGAAUGCGCAGAUAUCAGGAGGAACACCAAUGGCGAAGGCAGCUCGCUGGGACGGUACUGACGCUGAGGUGCGAAAGCGUGGGGAGCGAACAGG
rnacentral:rRNA from 1 species